GUGCAGUCAAACACACUCCUAUGUGUUACCCGGUCCUGGAUUUAUCCACCGGGUGCUUGGCCUUCAUAGCCAGCAGCCUAAUUCAAGGGCCAGCUUGCCCAGCUCUCCUCUGAUAAUCUUCUCUUCAUGUGAACAGAAUAUUCCCUCAGCUGUUGCAAAAGGACUUGCUGGCACUGCUGGGGUGUUGUGUGAAAGGUUUCUGCCAUUCAAGCUUAUCAACUACCUCAAGCCAGUUGGAAAUCUAAAGGUCUUAAAAUGAGAGAACCACAGGACAAGUUAUUAACCCUACACUGAGAGCAAACCUGCAAAUCCCGGUCCUUUGACCCAUAGUCUAACCUAAUGCAACACCCACCUACUGUGGCUGGAUGCUGGCAGUAAGGCGUAUUUGGUGUGUUUAACUGGCAGCAAGGAUGAGUCCAGCUACACUGCAGUUGGAAGGACUGCUCACUCCCAGUAGUACCGUGCCCUCUUGCUACAUACAUGUGAGGUGUGGUACAAAUAGCUGUCUGAAAUGCUGCCUCGCAUGGACUGGACUGUUCUUUGUUGGAGCAGAAAAAAAUUGAAGUCCUGCCUGCCCUCCUGUCUACUGGCUGAUGGAGCCAGGCUGGUAGCUGAGGA